rnacentral:rRNA from 1 species
UAUGAAGGGGGCUAGCGUUGUUCGGAUUUACUGGGCGUAAAGCGCGUGUAGGCGGGCUGGAAAGUUGGGGGUGAAAUCCCGAGGCUCAACCUCGGAACUGCCUCCAAAACUUCCAGCCUGGAGCAAGAUAGAGGCAAGUGGAAUUGCGAGUGUAGAGGUGAAAUUCGUAGAUAUUCGCAGGAACACCAGUGGCGAAGGCGGCUCACUGGUCCGGUACUGACGCUGAGGUGCGAAAGCGUGGGGAGCAAACAGG